UAUUAGGUUGGUGCAAAGGUAAUUGCGGUUUUUGCCAUUAAAAGUAAUGGCAACAACCGCAAUUACCUUUGCACCAACCUAGUA
rfam:Papio anubis isolate 1X1155 chromosome 5, whole genome shotgun sequence.